rnacentral:lncRNA from 1 species
GUGAAUCUGUUGACCAUUGAUGACUGAAAAACUUUAACUGUCAGGGAUUAUCUCUAACAGUGGUCUCCAAGGCAGUUAUCACAAUGCGCAUUACCCAGAUAGGCAAACAAUGGCCGACCACACCCAUAAGGAAGGCCAACUUUACUCCCUUUGGGUACUUAAAUAUUUAGCUUACUCACUGCCCAAAUGCCUUCUUUGACUGGUCAUGGAGUCUCAGGUUUAUAGGGUGUCAGGGAGUGAUAUGCAGCUCAUUGUUGCAUAAACAAUGAUCAAAUGAUGUAAUUAUAACCCAGUUAGAGAUGUUCCUCAUCAGUGACUACAGCCAAUGGUAAAUGUUAGCUGAGGAUUAACUCCCCAAUUGCUUGAACAGGGGAGCUUGACCAGGAGCAGCAGAUGAUGGCAUAAAGUGUUUGCUGAUCUCCAAGACUCCUAUGACUAUAGUUUGAAGGAACUUACAACUUAGCGGGAGCAGACAAGUAAAUUUAAUGCAUGGAGAGUUUUUGUUUAAAGGAAGGUCACUUCCCAUAGCCUGUGGAUUGAGGAGAAGAUGCUGAGAAGACUUUCUGAAGGGUCAAACUGCAUCUUAGUCCCGAAUGAUGCAUGAGAAUUGGCCAGGUGGAGAAGAAUGAGGGGAAGAGGGUUCUAAGCAGAGGAAAUAAUAUGAGCAAAGUAAUGGAAGCCCAAAACAGGAAAGUGGUUAUAUGAGACUGCGAUUUGGUGUUAAGAAAGUGGGAAAUUCAAGGCAAGGAGUGCUGACAGAUGAGUCUAGAGAGGUAACUAUGUAUUAUCAUAAAGAACCUACAGCAAUAGACCUAGCAAAUGGUGGCUUGAAUCGGGAUCGUGGAAGUAGGAAUAGAGGGACAGGAGGACAGCCCUUAGAUUCUUGACGGCAGGAGACACCUCUACACUCUUAGGAGCCCAAAGAAGAGCUGAGAAGAAUCUGCAGAACAAACCUUUCCUUCCGUUAGUUCCCCCCGUAUAUUUACCUUCCCACACUUGGCUGCCCCUAAAAGCCUAAACUCCUUUUCCUUUGUCUUGUUACUUCCCUACAAAUUUAUUGUUUUCAGUUGAGGUGCUGUAUAAGCUCCAGUUCUAACCACC